rnacentral:rRNA from 1 species
UACGUAGGGUGCGAGCGUUUAAUCGGAAUUACUGGGCGUAAAGCGUGCGCAGGCGGUCGUGCAAGUCGCGUGUGAAAGCCCCCCGGCUCAACUGGGGAGGGUCACGCGAUACUGCUCGACUUGAAGGCAGGAGAGGGAAGUGGAAUUCCCGGUGUAGUGGUGAAAUGCGUAGAUAUCGGGAGGAACACCAGUGGCGAAGGCGACUUCCUGGCCUGUUCUUGACGCUGAGGCGCGAAAGCUAGGGUAGCAAACGGG